GGGGGACAACCCGCCGAAAGGCGGGCUAAACCCGCGUACAUGCCACCGGGGCAUCCCGGAGGCAGGAAAGGCUUCGGCCGGACAGGGAUGGGCAUGCGGCGCAUUAGGCAGUAGGCGGGGUAACGGCCCACCUAACCGACGAUGCGUAGGGGUUCUGAGAGGAAGGUCCCCCACACUGGUACUGAGACACGGACCAGACUCCUACGGGAGGCAGCAGUGAGGAAUAUUGGUCAAUGGUCGGGAGACUGAACCAGCCAAGCCGCGUGAGGGAUGAAGGUACAGAGUAUCGUAAACCUCUUUUGUCAGGGAACAAAGGCGGGGACGUGUCCCCGGAUGAGUGUACCUGAAGAAAAAGCAUCGGCUAACUCCGUGCCAGCAGCCGCGGUAAUACGGAGGAUGCGAGCGUUAUCCGGAUUUAUUGGGUUUAAAGGGUGCGCAGGCGGUCUGUUAAGUCAGCGGUCAAAGCCCGGGGCUCAACCCCGGCCCGCCGUUGAAACUGGCAGUCUCGAGUUGGAGAGAAGUAUGCGGAAUGCGCGGUGUAGCGGUGAAAUGCAUAGAUAUCGCGCAGAACUCCGAUUGCGAAGGCAGCAUGCCGGCUCCACACUGACGCUGAGGCACGAAAGCGUGGGUAUCGAACAGGAUUAGAUACCCUGGUAGUCCACGCAGUAAAC
rnacentral:rRNA from 1 species